CAUGCGCAGCUACACAUGCAGUCGAGCGGAACGAGUUAUCUGAACCUUCGGGGAACGAUAACGGCGUCGAGCGGCGGACGGGUGAGUAAUGCCUAGGAAAUUGCCCUGAUGUGGGGGAUAACCAUUGGAAACGAUGGCUAAUACCGCAUGAUGCCUACGGGCCAAAGAGGGGGACCUUCGGGCCUCUCGCGUCAGGAUAUGCCUAGGUGGGAUUAGCUAGUUGGUGAGGUAAGGGCUCACCAAGGCGACGAUCCCUAGCUGGUCUGAGAGGAUGAUCAGCCACACUGGAACUGAGACACGGUCCAGACUCCUACGGGAGGCAGCAGUGGGGAAUAUUGCACAAUGGGCGCAAGCCUGAUGCAGCCAUGCCGCGUGUAUGAAGAAGGCCUUCGGGUUGUAAAGUACUUUCAGUCGUGAGGAAGGCGGCGUCGUUAAUAGCGGCGUUGUUUGACGUUAGCGACAGAAGAAGCACCGGCUAACUCCGUGCCAGCAGCCGCGGUAAUACGGAGGGUGCGAGCGUUAAUCGGAAUUACUGGGCGUAAAGCGCAUGCAGGUGGUUUGUUAAGUCAGAUGUGAAAGCCCGGGGCUCAACCUCGGAAUAGCAUUUG
rnacentral:rRNA from 1 species